GACGAACGCUGGCGGCGUGCCUAACACAUGCAAGUCGAGCGAAGUGAGUACUACGGUACGAACUUAGCGGCGGACGGGUGAGUAACACGUUGGCAAUCUGCCCCUCACUUCGGGAUUACUCAGGGAAACCUGCGCUAAUACCGGAUACUCCGGGAUGGUCGCAUGGCUGACCCGUGAAAGUUCCGGCGGUGUGGGAUGAGCCCGCGGCCCAUUAGCUUGUUGGGAAGGUAACGGCUCACCAAGGCGACGAUGGGUAGCCGAGCUGAGAGGCUGAUCGGCCACACUGGGACUGAGACACGGCCCAGACUCCUACGGGAGGCAGCAGUGGGAAUCUUGCGCAAUGCGCGAAAGCGUGACGCAGCAACGCCGCGUGAGUGAAGAAGGCCUUCGGGUUGUAAAGCUCUUUCAGUUGGGACGAAGCCUGGCUGGUGAAUAGCCUGCCCAGGUGACGGUACCUUCACAAGAAGCCCCGGCUAACUACGUGCCAGCAGCCGCAGUAACAC
rnacentral:rRNA from 1 species